rnacentral:rRNA from 1 species
GAUGAACGCUGGCGGCGUGCCUAAUACAUGCAAGUCGAGCGAACGGACGAGAAGCUUGCUUCUCUGAUGUUAGCGGCGGACGGGUGAGUAACACGUGGAUAACCUACCUAUAAGACUGGGAUAACUUCGGGAAACCGGAGCUAAUACCGGAUGAUAUUUUGAACCGCAUGGUUCAAAGGUGAAAGACGGUCUUGCUGUCACUUAUAGAUGGAUCCGCGCUGCAUUAGCUAGUUGGUAAGGUAACGGCUUACCAAGGCAACGAUGCAUAGCCGACCUGAGAGGGUGAUCGGCCACACUGGAACUGAGACACGGUCCAGACUCCUACGGGAGGCAGCAGUAGGGAAUCUUCCGCAAAGGGCGAAAGCCUGACGGAGCAACGCCGCGUGAGUGAUGAAGGUCUUCGGAUCGUAAAACUCUGUUAUUAGGGAAGAACAUAUGUGUAAGUAACUGUGCACAUCUUGACGGUACCUAAUCAGAAAGCCACGGCUAACUACGUG